AUUGAACGCUGGCGGCAUGCCUUACACAUACAAGUCGAACGGUAACAGGUCUUCGGAUGCUGACGAGUGGCGAACGGGUGAGUAAUACAUCGGAACGUGCCCGAUCGUGGGGGAUAACGGAGCGAAAGCUUUGCUAAUACCGCAUACGAUCUACGGAUGAAAGCAGGGGACCGCAAGGCCUUGCGCGGACGGAGCGGCCGAUGGCAGAUUAGGUAGUUGGUGGGAUAAAAGCUUACCAAGCCGACGAUCUGUAGCUGGUCUGAGAGGACGACCAGCCACACUGGGACUGAGACACGGCCCAGACUCCUACGGGAGGCAGCAGUGGGGAAUUUUGGACAAUGGGCGAAAGCCUGAUCCAGCCAUGCCGCGUGCAGGAUGAAGGCCUUCGGGUUGUAAACUGCUUUUGCACGGAACGAAAAGACUCUUUCUAAUAAAGAGGGUCCAUGACGGUACCGUAAGAAUAAGCACCGGCUAACUACGUG
rnacentral:rRNA from 1 species